rnacentral:rRNA from 1 species
GACGAACGCUGGCGGCGUGCUUAACACAUGCAAGUCGAACGGAAAGGCCCUGCUUUUGUGGGGUGCUCGAGUGGCGAACGGGUGAGUAACACGUGAGUAACCUGCCCUUGACUUUGGGAUAACUUCAGGAAACUGGGGCUCAUACCGGAUAGGAGCUCCUGCUGCAUGGUGGGGGUUGGAAAGUUUCGGCGGUUGGGGCUGGACUCGCGGCUUAUCAGCUUGUUGGUGGGGUAGUGGCUUACCAAGGCUUUGACGGGUAGCCGGCCUGAGAGGGUUACCGGCCACAUGGGGACUGAGAUACGGCCCAGACGCCUACGGGAGGCAGCAGGGGGGAAUAUUGCACAAUGGGCGGAAGCCUGAUGCAGCAACGCCGCGUGCGGGAUGACGUCCUUCGGGUUGUAAACCGCUGUCGCCUGUGACGAAGCGGGAGUGACGGUAAUGGGUAAAGAAGCACCGGCUAACUACGUG